UCCUUUCUUUUUCUUUUUUUUUCAAUGUUUAUUUGUUUUUGAGAGAGAGAGUCAGAGACAGAGAGAGAGAGAGCAGGGGAGGGGCAGAGAGAGAGGGAGACACAGAAUCCAAAGCAAGCCCCAGGAUCUGAGCUGUCAACACAGAGCCUGUCAUGGGGCUCAAACUCAUGAACUAUGAAAUCAUGACCUGAUUGACCUGAGUGGAAGUCGGAUGCUUAACUGACUGAACCACCCAUGUGCCCUGUUGUUUGUAUGUUUUCUUACAUGAGCAUUGGUGACACGAUAUGUCAGGAACCAGUGUUUGGGAGGGAUAAGGAAGACAGGCUGGAGGCCAGAAAGCAUGAGACACCAUGACCGUUAAUGUACAAUUGUUGAGGAGUCUCUAAGAUAGACACACUGAUUUCACACUACCUAUUCCAGAGUAGUGUGGCCUAAAAACAACUUGAAUUGUAAUUUUUCUACUCCUGAAUAUUCCCUGGUGGAUCUUGCCCCUGCUAGUUAGAGCAAAAACAAUGACAAAAGUUCUGCAGUGGUGGGUCCAGAGCAAGGGGAGAGAGUGGGGUCAGCAAGUAGCCAAAGGAAUAGUCAGAACACUUAGAAAUGGUACAUUAGGCAGGGUUGGGAUAUGGGAGGUAUUGAUGGGGACUGAGUUACUCUGAAAUAGAAGAGCCGUGGUCUGGAAGUCUUUGCACCAGAAACCAUGUGCCAUCAGCUCUUCUCUCCAUCAUCAGAGCUUCAUCCCUGUUGCUCAACCUGAGACAGAAAGUGGGAGGAGUUGAUAAGCAAGCCAUUCUUGCACCAGGGCGACCAGUGACAGCUGAGCCUGCUCACCAAUGUGUGCACCACAGACCAGAGAACAUAACGCACUUAUUCAAGAGUGUACAUCAUUUCUACUGUUUGCUUUAUAAGCUUCUUGUUAGAUACAUAGUUUUUGAGGUAGGCAGGAUACAAGUCAAGGAAAUAAGAAGGUACCUUCAGGUAUAUUGUUUGUUCUCCUAUAUCCCUAUUUUGAUAUUUUGUUUUUAGAAUAGAGAUUGGCCAACUGCAACAUGCAAGCCAGGUCUGGGCAUGUCCAUUUGUUUACAUAUCCUCUGUGGUUUCUUUCUCUCUACAACAGCAGAGUUUCAUAGUCAAAGUUACUGUAUGACCUGAAAAGCCAAAAUAAUUUACUAUGAUUUUUUUUUUUUACAAAUUUUGCUAACGUCUAUUUCAGAAGAAUCCUUGGGGCACUUGGGUGGCUCAGUUAGUUAAGGUUCUGACUCUUGGUUCUGGCUCAGGUCAUGAUCGCACGGUUUUGUGGGUUUGAGUUCCACGUCAGGCUCUGCACUGGCAGCAUGAAGCCUGCUUGGAAUUCUCUCUCUCCCUCUCUUUCUGACCCUCCCCAGCUUGCACUAUCUCUGUCUCUCUCAAAAUGAAUAAAUAAAAUUAAAAAGAGGAAGAAUCUUUUAAAAGGCUAGAAUCACCAGAAUGUAUUGUCCUAAUUGACAUCAAUGAGGAAAAUGAUAAAUUUCCAUAAUUAAGGUGACUAGUGUUUGUAAAUUGCUUUCACAUACCUGCUAGCCACAUGACCACCACAAAAGGGUUUUGAGUCAUGUAUUCUGAAAUCUAUUUCAUGGAGCAAGAAAUGGAGGAAGAGAUGAAGUGAUUUGCUUAACUCUUGCUUUGGGGAGCCCGAACCAGGAGCCCAAUGUCCUGAGUCUAAAUUCAUGCAAUUUCCAUCAUUUUAGUCCCAUCCUAGAGCUGAGUGUUUCCACUUAUGGAGAAAAUCUACCCGGUGUAAUUUCUAAAGUGCUGAGUAGGCUUUGAGCCCUCGGAUAUCUCAGCCCAAAUCCCAGCAUUAGAAAUCCAUUCCUCUGGAUCCACAAGUUCCUUUUUGGAGAUGUAAAAUGCCCCCAGGAAGGUGAGCAUGUUAAGUCUGGUUACAAGUCACUUGCAUUUUCAGGCAAAGUCUUAAGUGAAUGGUCUUCUCCUAACAAGGAGAUAUGAUGCCCAGUGGAGAAGGGAACUGCAGGUGUGGAAAGAAAUAUUUCUGUGUGUGGCCAGGAAUGCAGGCGGGCCAAUCUGGGAAGGGCAGCAGGCACUCAAGAGAAAUGAAAAAGGCAAGUCUCCAGAAAGUAUGAAGUCUACUUCUUUCCUUACUCACAAUUCUUGUUCUCAUUGGUACCACAGGGAGAGUGAUGCACAGGCAAAUGGAUCGUGGGUCUGAUUUAUUUUAGUGAUUCUUACAUUCUUAUUAUCUUUUUCUGGCUGCCCUAUGACCAGUCUUGUGUUUCAUCUCAGUUGCCUAGAUACUCCCAGCCUGAAUGCUGACAAGUUUCCCAAAGAUGAGUUUAAUUUUGUGAGAAUUCUAGAAUUAUAUCUCCAAGGAGGUUUCUUGCCACCAGAGUGUCUCUGGAGCAAAUUUGUGGACUCUAAAUAUUUUCCAGCAGAUUGUAAAUUUUGGAUAUGGUGCUAGCAAAGAGAAGAAAGGACAGCAGCAAAUUUCAGGACCACAUGGUUUCCAGUUAGAUUGUAGUCAGUGUGAUAGUUUGUAUGAUACACUGUGUUCUCUGCUCAAAGAUGUUCUUGGGAGAAAGAAGAAAGGUUGAACGUUUCUUUUGUGCCAAGUAAUGAAUAAUCAAGGGAAGAAACUGGGAAAGAAAAUCAAUUUUGGAUUUGAGUGUUAGAGAGAAGCUAGAACUGUGAGCCCUUAUUAUGUUGGUGACACCAUCUUAACAAAGUAGAAAUGAGUUUUUCUGUCUCACUUUGCAGUGGAUGACUGAAAAUGACUUUCGAACCUGCUGCAACAGUGGUUCAGAAGAGCAGAAAGGGCAAAGGGACUGCAUUUCAUUGUUCUUCUGUACGAUUUCCCAUCCUGGAUGUAAAAGCAAAAUACUGUUUUUCCCUCUGUGCCUAUAUUUCAAUGUAUAUCAUCAUUUUCCUUGUUACACUUACAUUUUUAAAUAAAUGGUUUCCCCUAAGUGGAUGCCAUACAGA